rnacentral:rRNA from 1 species
UACGGAAGGCAGCAGUGGGGAAUAUUGCACAAUGGGCGAAAGCCUGAUGCAGCUAUGCCGCGUGUAUGAAGAAGGCCUUAGGGUUGUAAAGUACUUUCAUCGGGGAGGAAAAACAAAACUAAUAAUUUUAUUUCUUGACGUUACCCGAAAAAGAAGCACCGGCUAACUCCGUGCCAGCAGCCGCGGUAAUACGGAGGGUGCUAGCGUUAAUCAGAAUUACUGGGCGUAAAGAGCACGUAGGUGGUUUUUUUAAGUCAGAUGUGAAAUCCCUGGGCUUAACCUAGGAACUGCAUUUUGAAACUGAAAUACUAGAGUAUCGUAGAGGGAGGUAGAAUUCUAGGUGUAGCGGUGAAAUGCGUAGAUAUCUGGAGGAAUACCUGUGGCGAAAGCGGCCUCCUAAACGAAUACUGACACUGAGGUGCGAAAAGCGUGGGGAGCAAAC